rnacentral:lncRNA from 1 species
GGGAGGGUUGGGGAGGGGUCUCCUCUCCGCGCUCUCCACGCCGAGGGCGACUGUGCGCGCAGGUUCCCCGCGGCCGGGACCGCUGGGCCGCUCGGAGCGUCCCCGGCCGCCCCCGCCCCCUCGUCGUCAUCCCGGGUCCCUCCCCAUUCCUCCCCACCCCCAACCCAGCUCCCGCCCGCCUUUCUCCCACUGCCCCUCCCCUCCGCUCCGUCCGCCGCCCGCGAACCCUCGCCGUCCUGCUUCGAGCGCGCAACCAGGCAGCAAAAUCCGGGCGCCUUUUCUCAUUUAACCCGCGUUUCCAUUAACUCAGUCCCAGCGCCCGCUAAUCCGCGGCACCGGAGGCUAAUUAAUGACCAGCUUUCGCAGUCAAGACCGGCGAUAAUUGCUUUCGUGGCCUUUAUGAUUACAAGAUAAAACUGGGCCCGGCCUGACACAGAGGCACUGUGUACACUCGGAGACAGGAGGAAAUGGAAGAGUUGGGAGGCUGAUGCGGAGCAGAAAAUUAGUAAUAGAGGAGAGAUAAUGAAUAGGCCGGCCGGGCCUUUCAUGGGGAAAAAUCCAUUUUGUUACCACGCGAAAUUAGGUGGUGGAAAAGAGUUUGCUAAUUGUUCUCCUCUUGUAGCAAACCGGGACUGAGGCAGGGCGUGCUUUCCCAUUCAUUUCCCCAGUAAUUGUGGGGGGCGUGGGGCGGGGGUCUGCUGGCCGGGGGUCUCGGGCGGUUUGGCUGUGGCGUGUUGAAGGGUCGCUAAUACACCUCCUAAUGAAGCUAAUGAGGGGAGCGCCGUGCAGCGCGCUGCACGUGGAGACGAGCGCAGCGCGCCAGGGGGUGGGGGGGACCUUCUCCUACUCCCCCACCCUGCACGGCCGAGACGGGGAACUUCCCGGGCCGCCCGGCAGCGGAGGGCUGGCGGUUCCGUUCCGGGAACAGCGCUUCGGCGGCAGGUGCUGGGGUCUGCGCUGGAGUUGGCGGGACCACGCACGCCAGGGGGACGCCUGGAAUGGCCAGGGAGCAUUUCCCGGGACGGCAGAACGCCUGGGGCUCGGGUGACUGUGAAAGCGGAUAAAGCCAGGCCUGCGUUCCGUGCACGCCCUGGAUAUACAGAAAAGCCAGCUGAAGCUCCUGCCACACCAGGCGGAGCAAGAGGACUCCACCAAGUUCAUCGUGCUGACCUUCCUGUCCGUCGCCUGCAUCCUGGCCGUCCUCCUGGCUUCGGGCCUCCUCUACUGCAUCCGCCACAGCUCUCACUACAAGUUGCGGGAGAAGCUGUCAGGACUAGGGGGCCACCCAGGUGCCGAUGCCACUGCCGCCUACCAGGUAAAAGGAUACUUUGUUGUUGUUGUUGUUCUAAGUGCAGUAUUGGAAUUAUCAACUGAGCGGGCGAUGGGCUCAUCUCGUUCCCUCUCCCAUUGCCAGCACUCGCUCACUUAUUCAUAGUUUGGGUUCUUUUAUGGUGCCAGUUGAAACUUCUCAUUAACAUUCAUGUCAAUACCUUGCAACUACAGUUUUACGGCUCUUAUAUUAAUCUUGGGCCGUUCUUGGAGGGUCUCCUGUUAGCUGUGAACGCAGGUUGCUAAUUAGAAAUGGGGGGGGAGCACAAUGCAUGAAUUAUGUAUCAUCUGUUAUCUUUCUUAGUUUGGCCUCUAUUAAUGAGAAAUCCAGUGUUGCAAGAUGAAUUGCUUGUGUAGGUGUUUGAAGAUGUCUUAAAUCAUGCACUUCCUCUCAGAGUCUUAGAUGAAAAGAUCUUUUGACCUGAUCUGCUCCCACCCUCUGCUAUUAUUCUGCUACCGUGAAGUCUAACGCUGGCAAACCGCAGGUACAGCAGCGGCAGCCGUGAGCUGGAAACACAGAGUGCUUGCAAACACACCUGGAAAUAAAUUAGACCAAUGAGGAAGUGAGGGAGGCA